rnacentral:rRNA from 1 species
AGCUGGCGGCGUGCUUACACAUGCAAGUCGAACGAUGAACCACUUCGGUGGGGAUUAGUGGCGAACGGGUGAGUAACACGUGGGCAAUCUGCCCUUCACUCUGGGACAAGCCCUGGAAACGGGGUCUAAUACCGGAUACCACUACCGCAGGCAUCUGUGGUGGUUGAAAGCUCCGGCGGUGAAGGAUGAGCCCGCGGCCUAUCAGCUUGUUGGUGAGGUAAUGGCUCACCAAGGCGACGACGGGUAGCCGGCCUGAGAGGGCGACCGGCCACACUGGGACUGAGACACGGCCCAGACUCCUACGGGAGGCAGCAGUGGGGAAUAUUGCACAAUGGGCGAAAGCCUGAUGCAGCGACGCCGCGUGAGGGAUGACGGCCUUCGGGUUGUAAACCUCUUUCAGCAGGGAAGAAGCGAAAGUGACGGUACCUGCAGAAGAAGCGCCGGCUAACUACGUGCCAGCAGCCGCGGUAAUACGUAGGGCGCAAGCGUUGUCCGGAAUUAUUGGGCGUAAAGAGCUCGUAGGCGGCUUGUCACGWSGGGUGUGAAAGCCCGGGGCUUAACCCCGGGUCUGCAUUCGAUACGGGCUAGCUAGAGUGUGGUAGGGGAGAUCGGAAUUCCUGGUGUAGCGGUGAAAUGCGCAGAUAUCACGAGGAACACCGGUGGCGAACGCGGAUCUCUGGGCCAUUACUGACGCUGAGGAGCGAAAGCGUGGGGGAGCAACAG